UGGGGAAUCUUGCGCAAUGGGCGAAAGCCUGACGCAGCGACGCCGCGUGGGGGAAGAAGGCCUUAGGGUUGUAAACCUCUUUCAGGUGGGACGAAGCCACUCGGGUUAAUAGCCCAGAGGGUGACGGUACCGCCAGAAGAAGCCCCGGCUAACUACGUGCCAGCAGCCGCGGUAAUACGUAGGGGGCAAGCGUUGUCCGGAUUUAUUGGGCGUAAAGAGCGUGUAGGCGGCCAGGUAGGUCGGUUGUGAAAACUGGAGGCUCAACCUUCAGACGUCGACCGAAACCCUCUGGCUAGAGUCCGGAAGAGGAGAGUGGAAUUCCUGGUGUAGCGGUGAAAUGCGCAGAUAUCAGGAAGAACACCCGUGGCGAAGGCGGCUCUCUGGGACGGUACUGACGCUGAGACGCGAAAGCGUGGGGAGCGAACAGGAUUAGAUACCCCCGUAGUCC
rnacentral:rRNA from 1 species